GGUAGAGCAUGUAAAAUUGGUGAGAUCGGUAUGGAGUUAAUGGGAAAAAAAUUUGAGAAAAGAGACAGGGAGUACAUAAAAGGGAUAUGGGGAACAAAAAAGGGGUAGCAUUUUUGUAAUUAAAAAGGCUGAGAGCACGAAAGAGAGACCAAUGAAAAGAUGGAGGAUAGCAUGGGAGAAGCGAAAAAGAAACAGGUAAAAUUGGAAACUAAGAGAAAAGGUGUGGAAAAACAAUAGAAAAGUGUGAAAUGCAUAUGUGAAAAUUGAACUAAGAGAACAGGU